AUAGCUUUAGGGCUAGCCUCAAGUGAUGAUUAUUGGAGGUAGAGCACUGUUUGGACGAGGGGCCCCUCUCGGGUUACCGAAUUCAGACAAACUCCGAAUGCCAAUUAAUUUAACUUGGGAGUCAGAACAUGGGUGAUAAGGUCCGUGUUCGAAAGGGAAACAGCCCAGACCACCAGCUAAGGUCCCAAAAUAUAUGUUAAGUGGAAAAGGAUGUGGCGUUGCCCAGACAACUAGGAUGUUGGCUUAGAAGCAGCCAUCAUUUAAAGAGUGCGUAAUAGCUCACUAGUCGAGUGACACUGCGCCGAAAAUGUACCGGGGCUAAACAUAUUACCGAAGCUGUGGAUUGUCCUUUGGACAAUGGUAGGAGAGCGUUCUAAGGGCGUUGAAGCAUGAUCGUAAGGACAUGUGGAGCGCUUAGAAGUGAGAAUGCCGGUGUGAGUAGCGAAAGACGGGUGAGAAUCCCGUCCACCGAUUGACUAAGGUUUCCAGAGGAAGGCUCGUCCGCUCUGGGUUAGUCGGGUCCUAAGCUGAGGCCGACAGGCGUAGGCGAUGGAUAACAGGUUGAUAUUCCUGUACCACCUAUAAUCGUUUUAAUCGAUGGGGGGACGCAGUAGGAUAGGCGAAGCGUGCGAUUGGAUUGCACGUCUAAGCAGUAAGGCUGAGUAUUAGGCAAAUCCGGUACUCAUUAAGGCUGAGCUGUGAUGGGGAGAAGACAUUGUGUCUUCGAGUCGUUGAUUUCACACUGCCGAGAAAAGCCUCUAGAUAGAAAAUAGGUGCCCGUACCGCAAACCGACACAGGUAGUCAAGAUGAGAAUUCUAAGGUGAGCGAGCGAACUCUCGUUAAGGAACUCGGCAAAAUGACCCCGUAACUUCGGGAGAAGGGGUGCUCUUUAGGGUUAACGCCCAGAAGAGCCGCAGUGAAUAGGCCCAAGCGACUGUUUAUCAAAAACACAGGUCUCUGCUAAACCGUAAGGUGAUGUAUAGGGGCUGACGCCUGCCCGGUGCUGGAAGGUUAAGAGGAGUGGUUAGCUUCUGCGAAGCUACGAAUCGAAGCCCCAGUAAACGGCGGCCGUAACUAUAACGGUCCUAAGGUAGCGAAAUUCCUUGUCGGGUAAGUUCCGACCCGCACGAAAGGCGUAACGAUUUGGGCACUGUCUCAACGAGAGACUCGGUGAAAUCAUAGUACCUGUGAAGAUGCAGGUUACCCGCGACAGGACGGAAAGACCCCGUGGAGCUUUACUGUAGCCUGAUAUUGAAAUUCGGCACAGCUUGUACAGGAUAGGUAGGAGCCUUUGAAACGUGAGCGCUAGCUUACGUGGAGGCGCUGGUGGGAUACUACCCUAGCUGUGUUGGCUUUCUAACCCGCACCACUUAUCGUGGUGGGAGACAGUGUCAGGCGGGCAGUUUGACUGGGGCGGUCGCCUCCUAAAAGGUAACGGAGGCGCUCAAAGGUUCCCUCAGAAUGGUUGGAAAUCAUUCAUAGAGUGUAAAGGCAUAAGGGAGCUUGACUGCGAGACCUACAAGUCGAGCAGGGUCGAAAGACGGACUUAGUGAUCCGGUGGUUCCGCAUGGAAGGGCCAUCGCUCAACGGAUAAAAGCUACCCCGGGGAUAACAGGCUUAUCUCCCCCAAGAGUUCACAUCGACGGGGAGGUUUGGCACCUCGAUGUCGGCUCAUCGCAUCCUGGGGCUGUAGUCGGUCCCAAGGGUUGGGCUGUUCGCCCAUUAAAGCGGUACGCGAGCUGGGUUCAGAACGUCGUGAGACAGUUCGGUCCCUAUCCGUCGUGGGCGUAGGAAAUUUGAGAGGAGCUGUCCUUAGUACGAGAGGACCGGGAUGGACAUACCUCUGGUGUACCAGUUGUCGUGCCAACGGCAUAGCUGGGUAGCUAUGUGUGGACGGGAUAAGUGCUGAAAGCAUCUAAGCAUGAAGCCCCCCUCAAGAUGAGAUUUCCCAACUUCGGUUAUAAGAUCCCUCAAAGAUGAUGAGGUUAAUAGGUUCGAGGUGGAAGCAUGGUGACAUGUGGAGCUGACGAAUACUAA
rnacentral:rRNA from 1 species